UGGCAGAUAGAUGUCAUAAUUUGGCAGAUAGAUUUCAUAAUGUGGUAGAUAGAUGUCAUAAUAUGGCAGAUAGAUGUCAUAAUUUGGCAGAUAGAUUUCAUAAUAUGGCAGAUAGAUUUCAUAAUAUGGCAGAUAGAUUUCAUAAUAUGGCAGAUAGAAUCAAGGUCUAUUUUUGCAGCUGACACGCUUUGUGAAUGAUAUCUAUCUGUACCUGGAAACCAGUGUAACCCAUUUCAGAUAGAUGUUGAAAUAAAUUAAAUGUAAUCUAAUAACAAAUUACUUAGAUAAUUCAUCGUACUGUGUACACUAGAAUGGAAAGGGCUGUUAUAUUAGGACACACAGUGAGAGUGGGAAUGGGAAACUUCUCUUGAAAGAGAUAAACAAUUACUGUGGUAAAUAAACGGAAAUUACCAUUGGUUGACCAAGGAAUCAGAUGUCAUGUUGUUUGCUCUCCUAAGUUCUGGAUGCCUUACGCAAUAAUUGUGUUUGCUUGUCAGUCUGUCCCCAAUUGAAUAGCCCCUUACAGCUGGGUAGGAGACAGGAGGCUAUAAAACACAGAGACUCUCCAGGAUGGUGACUGUGCCAAGGCGAGGCUCUGAGAUGAGACCAGUCACACUUGUCUUGUUAGCUCUGUUCACCGGGGCAGUGACUCCCUACUGCAGAAGACUCUGUCUGACUCUGGACCCGAGCACUGAGCUACCACACACUAGAGAGGAUGGGGAGACAAGAGGUUCCACUUUAAACAACUCCGCUGGAGACGCUCUCACUCACUGUAGAAUGAAUCUGUUUCUGAAAGAUGAACGCACAAUUCAAGAGGACUGGAUGGUGCUAUUCCCUAGAGAGGAGAUCAACAGAAACUCUGAACUUGUACCGGCUGUGACUCUGGGCUACAACGUCUAUUCCAUCUGUGGGAGGGACAACCUGCUGCGAGCCGUUCUGGAACCUUUGAAAGGAGGGGAGCAGAGAGAGCCGUCAGGACUGCGGAGCUGCGGCCGCAGCAGGGUGCUGGCGCUGGUGGGACACUCCUCCUCUGGUCUCGGCAGCUCCUCACACUGGCUACAGGUGAGACUGACAGGGAGUGUGAUACCCAGCAGUACAUAUUGUGCAUCCCUACCUCCUACAGAAUGAUUUGUUGAGUAAUGCACGUUUUAAAAUGUAAUAAAAUCUUGUUGAUUCCGACAUUAGUCAAGUAAGUGUGUUCAAUAAUGACAUGUCAACUAAAAACGUGUGUUGUUCUCCUUUCUGUCCUUGUGCAUAGAUGAUCCACAUAUGUACUUGUGCAUGUCUGAGAGACAGAGAUGUUAACCCCAGAGCCAUUCUCCUCAGAGCAGAGUCCAGUCACUCUGCCCAGAACCUAGCCCCGAUGCUGCCCCUGACAUGCUGGAGCAGAGUGGAUGUUGUCUGUGGGACAUGCAUACCGGAGGGUAAAGCUGAGGGUCAGGCUCCCUUACAUGAGGUGAAGGGGAUUGUUCUCCCCGGCCUGACUGAGUUCUU
rnacentral:lncRNA from 13 species